rnacentral:rRNA from 1 species
GUGCGAGCGGUUCCCUGGGCACACUGACGUGAGAGACGAAAGCUAGGGGAGCGAACAGGAUUAGAGACCUGGUAGUCCUAGCCCUAAACGAUGAAUGCUAGGUGUGGGAUCGAAUGGUUCCGUGCCGGAGCGAACGUGAUAAGCAUUCCGCUGGGGAGUACGGCCGCAAGGUUAAAACUCAAACGAAUUGACGGGGCCCCGCACAAGCAGCGGAGCGUGUGGUUUAAUUCGAUGCUACACGAAGAACCUUACCUGGGUUUGACAUGUAGGUGGUAGUGAAUCGAAAGGUGAACGACCCUUCGGGGAGCCUACACAGGUGCUGCAUGGCUGUCGUCAACUCGUGCCGUGAGGUGUCGGGUUAAGUCCCGUAACGAGCGCAACCCUUGCUCCUAGUUACAAGUGUCUAGGGGGACUGCCGGCGGAAAGCCGGAGGAAGGUGGGGAUGACGUCAAGUCAGCAUGGCCCUUAUAUCCAGGGCUACACACACGCUACAAUGGUCGGUACAAAGGGCAGCGAAACCGCGAGGCGGAGCGAAUCCGAGAAAAGCCGAUCGUAGUUCGGAUAGCAGGCUGCAACCCGCCUGCUUGAAGCUGGAGUUGCUAGUAACCGCGCGUCAGCCAUAGCGCGGUGAAUACGUUCCCGGGGCUUGUACACACCGCCCGUCACGUCAUGGGAGUCGGUAACGCCUGAAGCCAGUAGUCUAACUGGAAACAGGAGACGCUGUCGAGGGCGGGACUGGCAACUGGGACGAAGUCGUAACAAGGUAACCAAGGGCGAA